rnacentral:rRNA from 1 species
GAUGAACGCUGGCGGUAUGCUUAACACAUGCAAGUCGAACGGACUCUUCGGAGUUAGUGGCGGACGGGUGAGUAACGCGUGAGAAUCUGGCUUUGGGUUCGGGACAACCACUGGAAACGGUGGCUAAUACCGGAUGUGCCGAGAGGUAAAAGAGAAAUUGCCUGAAGAUGAGCUCGCGUCUGAUUAGCUAGUUGGUGAGGUAAAGGCUCACCAAGGCAGCGAUCAGUAGCUGGUCUGAGAGGAUGACCAGCCACACUGGGACUGAGACACGGCCCAGACUCCUACGGGAGGAAGCAGUGGGGAAUUUUCCGCAAUGGGCGAAAGCCUGACGGAGCAAUACCGCGUGAGGGAAGAAGGCUCUUGGGGUGUAAACCUCUUUUCUUAGGGAAGAACAAAAUGACGGUACCUAAGGAAUCAGCAUCGGCUAACUCCGUG